UAAAAAUCCUUCGUGUUUGUGUUUUCAUUUAAGAAUCAGGUAUCUACUACGAGAAUAUUUCAAGUAUAGAUAUAGAAUUAGCAUACGAUGAGGAGUAAAGAGGAACAAAUCGCAGGAGUGACAAAAUAAUAAUGUUGAAAUCAUUUAGCAAUUUGACCAACAAAAAAGAAACGACGGUUCACUAUGAAACGACGGUUCAUAAUGUUAAUCAAGAUACACGAAAAUUACGACUGGGUGAAGAUAUAAUGCAGGAAUUAAACGGGAACAAGGCUAAUCAUUCCAACAAAAAAGAGGCAAAAGGCUUAAAAGGAAAGAAAGCGGAUCAAUGAUGAACAUAUGGGAAGCGAAAGUAAAAGAAAACAACUUGGGGGAGUUCUGAAGGAUAAGAAUAUGAUGGUUGGCAUUGAAUAAAUUGUAAGAAAGUCACCUAAGGCCUAAAAGGAUUGUUAGCGAUGUCAACAACAGUUUGAUGGAGCAAGGUCAAGAGGAGGCAAGGAAGACAAAAGUAUCAAAACAGGAGGCAGCGAGGAAAAAUCACCCUACACUUAGAAUUAAGACAUCUUUUAAUUCAUUAUGAUUAUAGCAAUGAGUAUACAUGUUUUUUUUAGUAAAACUAUUCAGACACAUGUUUAUGUUUUGUGUUGCGCACAUGUGUUUGUAGUUAUCAUAAUCGGUAAUGGGAUAUAAACACAUGUAUGUAUCGGUGUACACAUAUGUUUGUAAAAGAAAUGUCAUGUGUUUCAGUGACAUACAACUGUAUUAGGACUUUA